rnacentral:rRNA from 1 species
UAGAGUUUGAUCAUGGCUCAGGAUGAACGCUAGCGACAGGCUUAACACAUGCAAGUCGAGGGGCAGCGGGGAGGUAGCAAUACUUCCGCCGGCGACCGGCGCACGGGUGAGUAACACGUAUGGAACCUGCCCGUAGCAGGGGGAUAAACGGAAGAAAUUCCGUCUAAUACCGCGUAAUAACUCCGAGAGGCAUCUCAUGGAGUUUAAAGGGUAACACCGGCUACGGAUGGCCAUGCGGCGCAUUAGCUAGUUGGCGGGGUAACGGCCCACCAAGGCGACGAUGCGUAGGGGUUCUGAGAGGAAGGUCCCCCACACUGGUACUGAGACACGGACCAGACUCCUACGGGAGGCAGCAGUGAGGAAUAUUGGUCAAUGGGCGCGAGCCUGAACCAGCCAAGUCGCGUGAGGGAAGACGGUCCUAUGGAUUGUAAACCUCUUUUGUCGGGGAGCAAAAGACGCCACGUGUGGCGUUCCGAGAGUACCCGAAGAAAAAGCAUCGGCUAACUCCGUGCCAGCAGCCGCGGUAAUACGGAGGAUGCGAGCGUUAUCCGGAUUUAUUGGGUUUAAAGGGUGCGCAGGCGGAAGAUCAAGUCAGCGGUAAAAUUGAGAGGCUCAACCUCUUCGAGCCGUUGAAACUGGUUUUCUUGAGUGAGCGAGAAGUAUGCGGAAUGCGUGGUGUAGCGGUGAAAUGCAUAGAUAUCACGCAGAACUCCGAUUGCGAAGGCAGCAUACCGGCGCUCAACUGACGCUCAUGCACGAAAGUGUGGGUAUCGAACAGGAUUAGAUACCCUGGUAGUCCACACAGUAAACGAUGAAUACUAAUUGUUCGGGGAGAAUGAUCCCUGAGUGAUACAGCGAAAGCGUUAAGUAUUCCACCUGGGGAGUACGCCGGCAACGGUGAAACUCAAAGGAAUUGACGGGGGCCCGCACAAGCGGAGGAACAUGUGGUUUAAUUCGAUGAUACGCGAGGAACCUUACCCGGGCUCAAACGACACAGGAAUACUUUUGAAAGGAGGUAGCUCUACGGAGUCUGUGUCGAGGUGCUGCAUGGUUGUCGUCAGCUCGUGCCGUGAGGUGUCGGCUUAAGUGCCAUAACGAGCGCAACCCCCAUCGCCAGUUACCAGCAAGUCAAGUUGGGGACUCUGGCGAGACUGCCGGCGCAAGCUGUGAGGAAGGCGGGGAUGACGUCAAAUCAGCACGGCCCUUACGUCCGGGGCGACACACGUGUUACAAUGGCAGGUACAGAGAGAAGCAAUGCGGCGACGCAAAGCGGAACUUGAAAGCCUGUCUCAGUUCGGAUUGGAGUCUGCAACUCGACUCCAUGAAGCUGGAUUCGCUAGUAAUCGCGCAUCAGCCAUGGCGCGGUGAAUACGUUCCCGGGCCUUGUACACACCGCCCGUCAAGCCAUGGAAGCCGGGAGUGCCUGAAGUGAGCAACCGCAAGGAGCGCCCUAAGGUAAAACUGGUGACUGGGGCUAAGUCGUAACAAGGUAACCGUAA